GGGGGAAUAGUUCAGCGGCCAGAAUGCCGGACUCCAAAUCCGGAGACGCAGGUUCGAGUCCUGCUUCCCCCGCCA
rnacentral:tRNA from 1 species